AAUUCGAUGCAACGCGAAGAACCUUACCUGGUCUUGACAUCCACAGAACUUUCCAGAGAUGGAUUGGUGCCUUCGGGAACUGUGAGACAGGUGCUGCAUGGCUGUCGUCAGCUCGUGUUGUGAAAUGUUGGGUUAAGUCCCGCAACGAGCGCAACCCUUAUCCUUUGUUGCCAGCGGUUAGGCCGGGAACUCAAAGGAGACUGCCAGUGAUAAACUGGAGGAAGGUGGGGAUGACGUCAAGUCAUCAUGGCCCUUACGACCAGGGCUACACACGUGCUACAAUGGCGCAUACAAAGAGAAGCGACCUCGCGAGAGCAAGCGGACCUCAUAAAGUGCGUCGUAGUCCGGAUUGGAGUCUGCAACUCGACUCCAUGAAGUCGGAAUCGCUAGUAAUCGUGGAUCAGAAUGCCACGGUGAAUACGUUCCCGGGCCUUGUACACACCGCCCGUCACACCAUGGGAGUGGGUUGCAAAAGAAGUAGGUAGCUUAACCUUCGGGAGGGCGCUUACCACUUUGUGAUUCAUGACUGGGGUGAAGUCGUAACAAGGUAACCGUAGGGGAACCUGCGGUUGGAUCACCUCCUUA
rnacentral:rRNA from 1 species